UUUUUAACAGUAAGUGUUGCUUUUCUAAAUAAAUAUUUUACAGCAGUGUUUACGUACAGUUCUUUUCAGAUUAACCAUAAAUACUAAUCUCGAGACCAUUUAAAUGUGUUUAAGUUUUAAUUUUUUGAAUUUUGAUAACACAAAUAUGAUAAUUAAUACUAAGAUAAUUACACAGAAAAUUAUUUUCAUAUUGUUAUCAGUGGUGGAGUGAAACAUAUGUAUUUGGGUAAUUAUUAUUAUAAUUUUUCUUCUUUUAAUCUCAUUUUAGGCUUGUGGGUUGUGCAGGGUUGUGCAACUAUUUUAUAUUGCUUUAACAGAACCAAAAUUUAUAGCUAAGUUUAGAUUUUUUAUUAUUAAUAAGAAUUAAUAUGUCGAAUAUUUUACAAACGAAUAUCAAGUCGGUUAGAACCUAAUGCUCAUGCAAAUAAAGCUGUCAUGGCAACCCUUUGAAUCUGAUAGUUAUUCACUCUGAGCAAUAUAAUAUAAUAUUUUAAAUCAAAUUAACUGCGGAAAUGAAUUUCAAUAAACUGGUUGCUUUGCUUAUAUUUUGACAAACAACAAAGCAUAGAGAGUCUUCAACAAAAACUCAAGUAAAGAUCAUAUUGCAAAUAUUGAAAAGGCCUCUCCAUUGGUAAAUAAAUGUCAAACAAUAUGUAUAGAGAAUGCAAGCAAUUGUUAAGCAGUUCUUUUUUAUAUAUUUAUAGUAUAAACUAUACCUGUAAUCUUCUUGUAUAUUCACAUUUUUAGUAUUAAUUUGUAUAUUUAUUUAGUUAUGUUUUAGUUAAAAUAAUCUAUUUAACUUAAUAAUUUAAUGUUAAACUAAUGAACUGAAAAAAAAAUACAAUUGACAUUAUUUUGCAAACUAAAGUUUAAGGUUUACAUUUUGUUGUUAAAAAACCUGUUAUACCUAAUUUUUAUUUUCAGGUUUUAUUUUAAACUACUUUUUAUUUUAGUCUAAAUAACCAUAGCUAAUAAAGGCCAGCAAAUGCUCUUACUGUUUUUCCAAAAAUUGUUUUUAGCUUAUUUUCCAGCACAAUUAUGACUAUUAAUUAUGACUAUAAUACAAACAUUCAACUAUAUGAGAUUAAUGAGCUAGCAAGUAAAAAAACUUACAUACAACAAAUGUAGUUUGAUGAGAGGAUAAUAAUAUUAACUCUUUAAAGUUUAGGAAAUAUAAGAAUAUUACCUUUUUUAAAUAAGUUUUAUCCUGUUUUUUUAUUAAUAAAAAUUAAUUUUUCUUAUUAUUAUUUUUCAUUGUAUUUAGUUUUCAUUAUUAUCUUGUUAUUGUUAAAACUACUAAAAUUUAUGUUUAUUUCAGAAUAAUAAAAAUGAAUAAAUAAGAGAAAAAUCAAUACUUGAGGGAAUGGCACCAAAGUAAUCGAGCCUUAAACAAUGUACUUGUAAAUGAAGAAAUUGACUCACAUCACAUGUCGACUAUUAAUAAUAUUAAUAAAGUCGAGAGUUUAAUUGAUUUCAAAAACAUUAAAAUUAAGAACUAUUGUGACUUUUAUUUUGUCUCUGAUCAUAAAUAUACUUCUGGAACUGAGAGUUCUAUUCUAGACUCUGAGGUUCCUGUGAGUGAUGAUAAUGAAGAUCUUCAUGACGUACUUGUUACAUAACGUAUGAGUACUUGUUACAGAGAUUGCCAAAUGGAUUUUAAAACACAGAAUAACUAAAAAUGCAAGUAACAAAUUGUUAACUAUUUACACCAGUAUAGUUAUAAUGUUGAUUUACCAAAAUGUACAAGGAAAAUUUUAAAUGCUUCUAGGAAUAUUCCAAGCAAGUUAAAAUGUGGGGGUAAAUAUGUUUACCUUGGUAUUUCAAAUGACAAAUCAAGAACUUUAGCAAUCAACCAGCAUUACAGAUUUGAGUCAAAUACAAUUUCUUUAGUUGUCAAUGUAGAUAGCAUUCCUUUAUUAAAGUCAUCAAACACACGGGUUCAGCCUAUAUUAUGUAUGUUUGACAAAGUGACACUAUUUACUGUAGCAUUAUUUGUUAGUGAUAUCAAGCCAAAUAAUUGUGAUGAUUUUUAAUAUGAUUUUUUGCAUGAGUAUGAGUUAUUAUUUGCAAAUGGUUUUUAGUAUUAUAUAUAUAACUUCAAUUAACUCUUGAGAAAAGGUGUUGCUAAUGUGCCAAUAAAAAGUCAGAAAGUGUAAGCAUAACCAUUUUAAAAAAAAUAGAGUCCCUUGAGGAAUUUUAUGAGCUUGAAACCAGAUUAAAAGACAACGGGGAGAACAAUAAGUUGGUAAUUUAUAUUUAUAAUUUCUAUUUUUAAAGUUUGUCUGUUUAAUAGAAUGCUAUUUAAGUUCAUCGUUUUCUUGAUAAGCCUAUUUUAAUCAUUCUUACAUUUUACCACAAUAUGUUGUAUAAAGUAAAUUCCUACUUAUAAAUCGAGAAUUAACUUAGUGACCUGAUAACCAUUUACAUUCUGUAGAGUUUUUUACAGUCUUGUAUUUUUGUUAAACUAUUUUGUCUUAUAUUUGGUUGAGCAAUUAUUAUUUCGUUGCUUUGAUAGAAUAACUGUGAAAAACAACCAAAUAAAUCUAAUCCUGUGUUAUUCCAACAUGAAAUUUUCUCUAAACUUUUAUUUAUGUUUUAGCUUUGUCACCUCAUAAAAGCAGGUGGAAAAAUUUUAAAGAAAAUACAAAAAAUGUUAUGGUCAGAAUUAUGGAGCAUCAUCUUAAGCCCAAGUUCAAUAUGAAAAGUAAAAUUCGUGGUGAUAUAAAGAAGGUAUCAUUCGAAAAUAAAAAGUUGUGUAAAGCAAUAAUUUUGAAGUCGUCCAGCUAACGCACGAGAGUUCGACGGAAGCAAACAAAAGAUCAAAUAGGAAGCAUUUUAAAGUUCUCUCCAUUAAACAAUUAUUUAUUUUUGAGUUUUUUUGUAAAUUUAUAAUACAAAAGAAUAUAUAAUACAUCUUUAAAAAAAUCUUU